rnacentral:tRNA from 1 species
GGGUAUAGCUCAGCCGGUAGAGCAGCGGUCUCCAAAACCGCGUGUCGUGAGUUCGAUUCUUACUGCCC